rnacentral:pre_miRNA from 1 species
UACGUACUCCCUCCGUCCGGAAAUACUUGUCCUGAAAAUAAAGAAAAUGAAUGUAUCUAUAACUAAAAUAAGUCUAGAUACAUCCAUUUCUAGAACAAGUAUUUCCGGACGGAGGGAGUACACA